CCUAAAAAGCAAAUACAUGCUAAAAACCCCGACUUCGGGAGGGGUGUAUUUAUUAAAUAAAAAACCAAUGCCCCUCGGGGCUCCUUGGUGAUUCAUAAUAACUUAACGAAUCGCAUGGCCUUGCGCCGGCGAUGGUUCAUUCAAAUUUCUGCCCUAUCAACUUUCGAUGGUAGGAUAGUGGCCUACCAUGGUGGCAACGGGUAACGGGGAAUUAGGGUUCGAUUCCGGAGAGGGAGCCUGAGAAACGGCUACCACAUCCAAGGAAGGCAGCAGGCGCGCAAAUUACCCAAUCCCGACACGGGGAGGUAGUGACAAUAAAUACUGAUACGGGGCUCUUUUGGGUCUCGUAAUUGGAAUGAGAACAAUUUAAAUCCCUUAACGAGGAACAAUUGGAGGGCAAGUCUGGUGCCAGCAGCCGCGGUAAUUCCAGCUCCAAUAGCGUAUAUUAAAGUUGUUGCAGUUAAAAAGCUCGUAGUUGAACCUUGGGUCUGGCUGGCCGGUCCGCCUCACCGCGAGUACUGGUCCGGCUGGACCUUUCCUUCUGGGGAACCCCAUGGCCUUCACUGGCUGUGGGGGGAACCAGGACUUUUACUGUGAAAAAAUUAGAGUGUUCAAAGCAGGCCUUUGCUCGGAUACAUUAGCAUGGAAUAAUAGAAUAGGACGUGCGGAUCUAUUUUGAUGGUUUCUAGGACCGCCGUAAUGAUUAAUA
rnacentral:rRNA from 1 species